rnacentral:rRNA from 1 species
UACGUAGGGGGCUAGCGUUGUUCGGAAUUACUGGGCGUAAAGCGCACGUAGGCGGACUAUUAAGUCAGGGGUGAAAUCCCGGGGCUCAACCCCGGAACUGCCUUUGAUACUGGUAGUCUCGAGUCCGGAAGAGGUGAGUGGAAUUCCUGGUGUAGCGGUGAAAUGCGCAGAUAUCAGGAAGAACACCUAUGGCGAAGGCAGCUCUCUGGGACGGUACUGACGCUGAGACGCGAAAGCGUGGGGAGCGAACAGG